rnacentral:misc_RNA from 1 species
GUGAAUCAUCAAAUUUUUGAACGCAAAUUGCGCCUUUUUCGGAAGGCAGGUGUGUGUGAGGGCAACGGUUAACAAAUAAUGUGCAGCGGGUUUUGUUGCACACGGUGAUGAGCUUUGCAAGAAUGUUAAAUUUUUGGUGGCGCAUAAUGAACAGCGAGAAAGUUUUUUUCAGGUAGAGUGUAGUAAAAUCUGUGCUUGGGUUGUGAAAAAAAAUAAUCGCGCAAUGGGUGUGGCAGUUGCGUUUUAU